UACGAACCGUGCGAACGUUGUUCGGAAUCACUGGGCUUAAAGGGCGCGUAGGCGGGCGGUCAAGUCGGUGGUGAAAUCCUUCAGCUUAACUGGAGAAUGGCCGCCGAUACUGACUGCCUCGAGGGAGGUAGGGGCAUGUGGAACUUCCGGUGGAGCGGUGAAAUGCGUAGAGAUCCGGAGGAACACCGACGGCGUAGGCAGCGCCCUGGACGACACCUGACGCUGAGGCACGAAAGCUGGGGGAGCGAACAGG
rnacentral:rRNA from 1 species